UGAACUCCACAUCCGCAUCCUUUGCUGAGGAUACGGUUAACGGAGCGAAAGCGACGUUCAACCGCAAAACAAGCAGAGGGGGCUUAGUGGUGGGGUGACUGCGUACCUUUUGUAUAAUGGGUCAGCGACUUAUAUUCUGUAGCAAGGUUAACCGUAUAGGGGAGCCGGAGGGAAACCGAGUCUUAAUUGGGCGUUAAGUUGCAGGGUAUAGACCCGAAACCCGGUGAUCUAGCCAUGGGCAGGUUGAAGGUUGGGUAACACUAACUGGAGGACCGAACCGACUAAUGUUGAAAAAUUAGCGGAUGACCUGUGGCUGGGGGUGAAAGGCCAAUCAAACCGGGAGAUAGCUGGUUCUCCCCGAAAGCUAUUUAGGUAGCGCCUCGUGAAUUCAUCUCCGGGGGUAGAGCACUGUUUCGGCUAGGGGGCCAUCCCGGCUUACCAACCCGAUGCAAACUGCGAAUACCGGAGAAUGUUAUCACGGGAGACACACGGCGGGUGCUAACGUCCGUCGUGAAGAGGGAAACAACCCAGACCGCCAGCUAAGGUCCCAAAGUCAUGGUUAAGUGGGAAACGAUGUGGGAAGGCCCAGACAGCCAGGAUGUUGGCUUAGAAGCAGCCAUCAUUUAAAGAAAGCGUAAUAGCUCACUGGUCGAGUCGGCCUGCGCGGAAGAUGUAACGGGGCUAAACCAUGCACCGAAGCUGCGGCAGCGANNUGCUGGAGGUAUCAGAAGUGCGAAUGCUGACAUAAGUAACGAUAAAGCGGGUGAAAAGCCCGCUCGCCGGAAGACCAAGGGUUCCUGUCCAACGUUAAUCGGGGCAGGGUGAGUCGACCCCUAAGGCGAGGCCGAAAGGCGUAGUCGAUGGGAAACGGGUUAAUAUUCCCGUACUUGGUGUUACUGCGAAGGGGGGACGGAGAAGGCUAUGUUGGCCGGGCGACGGUUGUCCCGGUUUAAGCGUGUAGGUGUGUGUUCCAGGUAAAUCCGGUUCACUUUAACACUGAGGCGUGACGACGAGGCACUACGGUGCUGAAGCAACAAAUGCCCUGCUUCCAGGAAAAGCCUCUAAGCAUCAGGUAACAUCAAAUCGUACCCCAAACCGACACAGGUGGUCAGGUAGAGAAUACCAAGGCGCUUGAGAGAACUCGGGUGAAGGAACUAGGCAAAAUGGUGCCGUAACUUCGGGAGAAGGCACGCUGACACGUAGGUGAAGUGAUUUACUCAUGGAGCUGAAGUCAGUCGAAGAUACCAGCUGGCUGCAACUGUUUAUUAAAAACACAGCACUGUGCAAACACGAAAGUGGACGUAUACGGUGUGACGCCUGCCCGGUGCCGGAAGGUUAAUUGAUGGGGUCAGCGCAAGCGAAGCUCCUGAUCGAAGCCCCGGUAAACGGCGGCCGUAACUAUAACGGUCCUAAGGUAGCGAAAUUCCUUGUCGGGUAAGUUCCGACCUGCACGAAUGGCGUAAUGAUGGCCAGGCUGUCUCCACCCGAGACUCAGUGAAAUUGAACUCGCUGUGAAGAUGCAGUGUACCCGCGGCAAGACGGAAAGACCCCGUGAACCUUUACUAUAGCUUGACACUGAACAUUGAGCCUUGAUGUGUAGGAUAGGUGGGAGGCUUUGAAGUGUGGACGCCAGUCUGCAUGGAGCCGACCUUGAAAUACCACCCUUUAAUGUUUGAUGUUCUAACGUGGACCCGUAAUCCGGGUUGCGGACAGUGUCUGGUGGGUAGUUUGACUGGGGCGGUCUCCUCCUAAAGAGUAACGGAGGAGCACGAAGGUUGGCUAAUCCUGGUCGGACAUCAGGAGGUUAGUGCAAUGGCAUAAGCCAGCUUGACUGCGAGCGUGACGGCGCGAGCAGGUGCGAAAGCAGGUCAUAGUGAUCCGGUGGUUCUGAAUGGAAGGGCCAUCGCUCAACGGAUAAAAGGUACUCCGGGGAUAACAGGCUGAUACCGCCCAAGAGUUCAUAUCGACGGCGGUGUUUGGCACCUCGAUGUCGGCUCAUCACAUCCUGGGGCUGAAGUAGGUCCCAAGGGUAUGGCUGUUCGCCAUUUAAAGUGGUACGCGAGCUGGGUUUAGAACGUCGUGAGACAGUUCGGUCCCUAUCUGCCGUGGGCGCUGGAGAACUGAGGGGGGCUGCUCCUAGUACGAGAGGACCGGAGUGGACGCAUCACUGGUGUUCGGGUUGUCAUGCCAAUGGCACUGCCCGGUAGCUAAAUGCGGAAGAGAUAAGUGCUGAAAGCAUCUAAGCACGAAACUUGCCCCGAGAUGAGUUCUCCCUGAGACUU
rnacentral:rRNA from 1 species